rnacentral:piRNA from 1 species
UGAUGAACUAAGGUGGUAACGGAGCC